GAGAGCCUGUUGGACAGGCGGAGCCCCGCCCCCGGCCGGGAGAGCCUAUUGGACAGGCGGAGCCCCGCCCCGGAACGCCCCUGCGCGCGUCAGCCCCCUUGGGGUCGUCCGCAGAAGUCUGAACCUGAGCGAGUCCUGCGGAGAACAUGGAGUGGGGCCGGGAGGAAACGGGAGGACUGCUGCCCUCUGCCGCCAUGAACUGUGGCCCAGCCAUGCCCGCCUGCCUUGGAGCCAACUGAGUGUGGACUGAAACCUCCAAAAACUGAAGAAUACUGCCUCGUGGAGCUAGAUAAAAGGGAACCCUCAUUGGAGGGCCCUGAUUUCCCUUCUUGGACUCAGCAAUUUGCACUGGUUUGGGCAGAAGACAACUCCCCCAGCAGGUUCCCAAGAAAUAUAUGCUGCUGAGCGUGAGCAACCUGAAGGAGGACAGAAAUGUCAGUUAACCUGGACAAGGCUGCCCCAGGGAUUCAAGAACUCACUGACAAUAUUUGGGGAAGCACUGUCCAGGGACCUUAUGCCUUUCAGACAAGAAAGCCAUGAAGUCUCCCUAUUACAGUAUGUAGAUGACUUGCUUUUGGCCACUGAAAUGUGGCCAAGAAAGGAUGAAGAAGUUGCUGGGAUUACUCCAAGAAAAGGGAUAUCAAGUUUUGAAGAAAAAGGCUCAAAUUUGUAUGCAGACUGUUAAAUUUCUGGGAUUUAUGUUGAAUAAUGGAACAUGGGCCUUGUUGACUUCACAGAGUCAGGCCAUCCAAGGCCUGAGGGUACCUGUUACUAAGAAGGAAUUCAGGGAAUUCCUAGUGACUGUAGGAUACUGUCAGCUUUGGAUCCCUAAUUUUGCAGCUAUUGCCAAACCUCUGCAUGAGGCCUUAAGAGAAGGAAAUACUCCCUCAUUGGAAUAGAAUCCUGAAUAGCAGGUGGCCUUUGAGAAAACUGGUAAGCACCCCUGCCCUAGCACUGCCUGACAUCACAAAACCUUUCCAGUUAUUCCUUCAUGAGAAUAAAAGUAUUGCUCAGGGUGUCCUACCACAAAUUUUGGGACCUGUGACAGACUUGUCAAAAGGCUGGACCCAGUGACAGCAGGAUGGCCCUCCUGACUGUGCUCCACUGCUGCCACAGUGAUAUUAGUGAAAGAAGCAGACAAAUUGACACAAGGGCAGAAUUUGAUUGAGUUUGUACCACACACAGUAGAGAGUUGGCUAAGAGGACCUGGUGGUAAAUGACUCUUGGGAACCAAAUUAGCCAAGUAUCAGGGGGCUUUGUUAGAGGAUCCUAAACUCACAAUUAGGGACAUUCAAGCCAUCAACUUGCCUUUCUCUUGCCUUCCUCUCUUAGAGUCACCUGAGCAUGAUUGCACUGAUGUCAUCCAGAUGGAUGGCCAGAUCAGCUUGGCCAGAUCUACAAGACACCCCCCUUUAGGGACCCCAACUUGACUUUAUUUUCUGAUGGUAGCAGCAUGGUAAUUGAUGGGGUCCAAAGGGCAGGAGUGGCAGUUGUCAUCUUGGAUCAACUGUCUGGUUAGAGGCAUUGCCUCCCAGGACCUCAGCACAAUGGGCCAAGGAGGAAGUCUCUGGAGGAAGGGUGAGACAAAAAGGUGAAUAUUUAUACUGAUUCUUGUUACCCAUUUGCUACUCUAUACAUGCAUGUUGCCAUAUUGAUGGAGGAAGGAAAAGACAUUAAAAACUCCCAAGAGAUUUUGAACCUGUUACAAGCUGUCUAGUUGCCCUCUAAGCUGGCAGUGAUGUAUUGUCCAGGAUGUCAAAGGGACAAACCUGUGGAGGCUCAAGUAUGAUGGACAGCCUGACACAGCUGCUGAACAAGUGGCCUUGGGCCAGGAGCCUUGUUCAGCUCAUGUUUUAGUGGCCCCCUUAUUAAACCACUCUACCAUUCAAAAGAGGAACUUAAAUGAGCAAAGACGGGGGGGGGGCACUGAAGAAAAUUGGUGGCAGGUUUUGCCAGGAUGGAAGGUUUUUCUCCCUGAGAUGCUGGGACAUUAUGUAACACAAGACCUAUGUAACACAAGCUGCACCAACCUGGGAAAGAUGGUCAUUUCGAAUUUGCUUGGUUAUUAUUUCUUUGUACUGAGACUUUGGAUUUUGUGUGCCUUGGUAGCUGCUCGUUGUGAAGCCUGUGCCCAUAACAACUCAGUUGUGCAGCCUCAACAGCCGGGCAUCCAGAGGUAAGGGACUUUGCCAUUUGAAGAUGUUAAGAUUGAUUUUACUGAGCUGAAACUCACAAGUGGAAACAAAAGGUUCCUAUAAGUAUUGAUCAGGUUGAAUGGAGGCAUUUCCCACUAGGACUAAAACAUCUAGGGAAGUUAUUGGAGCCACGAUGGAUUUGAUUAUACCCCAGUAUUGGCUCCUCAUAAUGGCAGGCUCAGAUAAUGGGUCCACUUUUUUGGGUCAAGUAACCCAGGGUCUUCCAAAAGCCUUAGGGCUUGUCUGGAAGCCACUAAAGCUUGUCAACCUCAGAGUUCAGACCGGGUAGAGAGACAAAACUGAAUCUAAAGAACAUCUUAGCAAAACUCUGCCAAGAAACAGUGAAGGACCAGAAAUUUAAAGGUUAAAAACAAGAUGCUGUUUCUCAGCUAGAAACAGCACUGGGCCUCAUGACUUAGUCCAAACUCAGCCCCGAGGGAGGAUCAAAAAGAAAACAUCUGUAACUGUGAUAAUGCUCGGACUGCACUGUGCCAGGGAACUCAGAGACGCUAAUCAGGGUUAUAAAAUAUGUCAAACCCGAACCAUACAGGGACCAGGUGUCCUAAAGAUAAGCUGUGCAAAACAAGACAGUUAAUCAACUCUGACCCGCUAGUUACCCCUAGUUACCCGCUAGUUACCAAUCACAAAUAGACGGACUGCUGACUAUCCCACUCUAACUGCUAUGAUUGGCUUCUGUAUCAAACGCUUGCUUUGCAGUUUUUUUCCCCUUAAAAGCACCUGCCUCACCUACACUCGGGGCCCUCUGUUCCCGCUUGUUCGGAGGACCCCCUGCGCGCGGAAUAAUAAAGACCCCUUUGUUCUUGCAUGAGA